GACCACGUGAUCUGCCCACCUCGGCCUCCCAAAGUGCUGAGAUUACAACGUGAGCCACCGCGCCCGGACUUGCUUUUGAAGUCUUUUGAUUGUCACUGUGGUUAAAUGAGUAGCUAUUAUUUAGCAGUGAUCUCUGAUUUGGUUGAACGAAGUCAUUUGAACUUUCUGACAUCUUUAGAAGGUUUUCCCAGGAUCCAAAUCCUAAAUUAAGCCAUCCGGCCUAAAAUCAACUUUGAGAUUCUUCCAGAAGGGCCUCCUGCAAUGCCUCAAAGUUUAUACAUCUCAUCUUGUGGAGAUAUUAAAUGAUCAGGCUUAUUUGGUAAGUAAUACAGGAAGCAUUGCCAAAUAGAAAUGGUGUUUAACUUCCUUUAAGUAAUGUCUGUGUAAGUGUGUCACUAAAACAUGGGAAAUUGAGAGUCCUAAAACUCCGAUAUGCCAAGAUCCAUCCCCUGGCUAUGAUCAUUGUGUCGGGCGUUUGUGUGCUGUGGAAAUGCUUAAGCCUCCUGUCAAUUGUGAACCGUCUUCAGAUCUCUGCCUGGCUGUUCCGGGCUUUAGUCACUCAUGGUUAUUCUUUAUUUUUGAGUCUUGGUCUCACUCUGUUGCCCAGGCUGGAGGACGGUGGCCCAAGCUUUGAGUUGUCCAAUCUUUCUGGCCCAAACCAACAUAGAUCUUACACGUAUUGAUUGAUGCUUCAUGUCUCCCUAAAAUGUAUAAAUCCAAGCUGUGACCCGACCAUCUUGGGCUUAUGUCCUCAGGAUCUCCUAAGGACCGUGUCACGGGCCAUGGUCAGAAUAAAUCUCUUCAAAUAUUGUACAGAGUCUGACUCUUUGGGUUGACAUUUGCAAUAAUUUGACCAAGUGUCCUUUGUGAACAAAGGUGGAAGGAUUCACUUUUUCUCCUAUUUGAUUCCUACAAAAUUCAGAAACUAUUAAUGAAUAUUCUUAUUUAUAUAAGAUCAGCAAAAAAAAAAGAAAAAAUCCCUGCUCUCUGUAAGCAGGAUACAAUUAGAAACAGCGAUUAUAUUACCAAGGUUUGGACUGAAAUACCAUAUUUUAGAAAUGUGGGCUGUGCAUGGUGGCUCACGCCUGUAAUCCCAGCAUUUUGGGAGGCCGAGGUAGACUGCUUGAGCCCAGAGUUUGACAGCAGACUAGGCCACAUAGUUCUAAAUCUGAGAUUUCCUUUAUGAUCAAGAUGUGUGGAGACCCCAUUCUACAAGGUAAGUUCAACCUCAGAGAGACAGGCUCUCCAGAACAGAUGAGUUUAUUUGGGAAGACCAGAGGAUUGCAACUGGGCUAGGAGUGUGAGGACGGAUCCCAGCCAUAUACUGGGGGCCACAGCCACGGGGAAGCUUUUAAAGACAGAAGUCCAUGUAAGCGGCUUUGAAACAAGGUUCAUAGGUCACAAGCUGAUUGCAGGUGUUGGCAGUGGAGAAAGCCGUGCUAGGCAAGCGUCUGCAGCUCACCGGGAAUGCUGUAGGCUUGAGAACAUGCUCUCGGUAUGCCCUGUGUCUUGUCUAAGUGCAGGAGUGUCUUGUGAAAAAUCCUGUUAUGGGCAUGUGUGUGUGAGGGCUUCUUUGUGACCUCCCUGACUCCAUUUUGUUAGCAUUUGACAUAAGUGACUCCAUUUUGGUUCCAGCAACUUUCACAUAAGGAAAUUGAGGCUCAGAGAAGUCAAGGGACUUGCCACAGGCCCCAGUAACGCUGCGCAGUGGAGUGAGGCAGAACCCAGCUUUCCCAGUGGACGCAGCUGCUGCGGGACAUACACUGCUCUGUAUCUGCCCUGCUCAUCCAGGACCCUGCCCCCAGGAGCCACACUGCACCGCCGGCUUGGGAACAGGGUGAUGCGGGAGGAGGCCAGUCUUCUGCACCCACUUCCUGCGGACUGGGGGCAUUGGCCCUGUCCAGUGACGGCACGGAAAUCUCUGGCUGCCUGGUCUAAGGGGUCCCAAGGUGGGUCAUCAGAAGAGUCUGAAUCUGAGACAAGGAUUGAUUGAAAUGCUUGCAUGACCAUUGUUUUGAUGUGCAACUGUUGCAACUUGGAAGACACGACCUUUACAAGGAGGUUAAACAAGCAAGGACCGAAGAUUAGUGGUAAUACGGUAGCUAUUAAAGGUCCCAGGAAAGAUAGGAGCCAUGUCACACUUUGUAGUAUCCUUUGAGGGAGUCUCAGAUGGUUUGAGCAGUGGGGUUAUUAAAACUGUGUAGCCAGGUGGCCUGCUGGUGAAUCUUUUGAACUUGCAGUUACGCUAGUUCUGAAUUGUUGAUGGAAGAACAACAGGUGUGCUUUCUCACUGCACGAACCCCUCCUUGUUCAACUAGAAGAUAAGCCAGGUCCUAUAAACCAAAAAUAAAAUUCUAAGGCCCCCCCCACACCCCAACCAUCUGAAUGGGCCCCUCCUCUCAGCUAAAGGCAUUCCCAAGUUAAGCUGAAAAGUUGUUCAGGCCAUGAAGACAUGGCCAUGAGCUCAACAUGCCUUAUUACAUCCGCCUCCGUUUUGGAAUUACUGAUAGAACAGACUCUUAAGUCUCAUAAGAAACGUUUCCAAGCUAUUUUCGCUGAAGUCUGCUACCAGGAGGCUUCAUCUGCAUAAUAAAACCUUGGUCUCCACACCCUUGUCCUAGCCCACACUUUCCUGAUACCUCUUUCAACCAACCGCCAGUCAGAAAAUCCCUCAAUCUGCCUAUGACUUGGAAGCCCCCACUUCCAGUUGUCCCACCUUUCUGGACCAAACCAACAUGCAUCUUACAUGUAUUGAUCGAUGCCUCAUGUCUCCCUAAAAUGUAUAAAACCAAAUUGUGACCUGAGCACCAUGGACAUAUGUUCCCAGGAUCUCCUUAGGUGGCAUCAUGGGCCAUGGGUAACUCAUUUGGCUCAGAGUCAAUCUCUUGAAAUAUUUUACAGAGUUUGACGCUUGGUAGACAGUAAUUUGGCACCUAACCUGGGGCCUCAGAGGAGACUCGGGACCCCAAAGGAGUUGCCCAGACUCGGAGCUAAGGCACCAGCAGGGGCUCAUGGACAGCCUCCCUGACCUUGAGCUUCUCCGGUGGAACCAGUGAGUCCUCCCGAGCUCGGACGUCCCUUUAGUUGAUGUUCCUUGGUUUCUUCUGAGGUUUUUUUUUUUUCUCCUAAGAAAUGGUUGUUUACAAUCCUAAUUCUAGUUUGAAAGUUCAUUCUGAAGGUCUUCUGUUUUCUUCCAAAAUUAAGCUUAAUUGGCUUAUCUGUGUGUUUCCAUGAGGAACUGAGCUGUCGUUUUGUAGAUGAAUGAGACACUGAACUUCUACAGCUCUGAAGAGAAGGCAUUUUGCUCCUUCUAGCCAAAAGGUGCUCCUGAGUGACCGGGAGCCAAGUGGGGGUGUCUUGCAGGGUUAAUCAGAGGAACUGAGACAGCUCAGCACUAAACUGUGGAGUCCCACCCACAACCAGCACGCAGCAAUCCACCGCACUAAACCCUAGGCCACAGCUCAGCUCCACCUUUUAAGU